GCAGAUGAUGAAUAUUUUGCACUACAACGGUGCUUUCCUAUAACUCAUGCGGAUUAUAUAAAUCGAGCUUUUUAAAACUGAUG